UACGGAGGGUGCAAGCGUUAUCCGGAUUCACUGGGUUUAAAGGGUGCGUAGGUGGGUUGAUAAGUCAGUGGUGAAAUCCCCGAGCUUAACUUGGGAACUGCCAUUGAUACUAUUGAUCUUGAAUACCGUGGAGGUCAGCGGAAUAUGUCAUGUAGCGGUGAAAUGCUUAGAUAUGACAUAGAACACCAAUUGCGAAAGGCA
rnacentral:rRNA from 1 species